rnacentral:tRNA from 1 species
GGGGGCGUAGCUCAGUCGGUAGAGCAGCGGCCUUUUAAGCCGUAGGUCGAAGGUUCGAGUCCUUCCGCCCCUACCA